rnacentral:lncRNA from 1 species
GAACCACAUGGUACAUGAUCCGGGACUCGGGCCUGUCUGUCCGCAUCCUGCUGAGUUCAUCUAUACCUGGAACUUCAGUGCACUCUCUCAAAGCUGGGUGAAAGCUCGCUCUCGACACGCCCAAGGGCACAGCAGGGCCCGCAUCUCCAGGAAGCACACCGGCAGGCUUAGUGUGCCACCUCACGACGUCCCCAACCUCAGGUCCUUGCCUACUAUGAAUCUCUCCCAGAAGAAACCAGCGACACGUGGGGUCAGGGCCCCUGAAGAACUUGUUUCUGCAGCAUGACACACACUGGCUAGCAAAGUGUCGGCAGGAGAGUGGGUUGACAAGCCUGCUUCAGAGCAAACUAUUUGAAAGGAGCAGCUCGCUUCUGCUUAAAUGGCUGCAGUGCUGCUUUUGAACACGUGCUUCUCCUAGGGAGAUCUGACCUUCCCCUGCCUGCACCACCAAGUCUGACUAUGCAAGAGCGCUCUUAGAAGAAUUAAUUACG